GACGUAGGGUGCGAGCGUUGUCCGGAUUUAUUGGGCGUAAAGAGCUCGUAGGCGGCUCGUCGCGUCGACCGUGAAAACCCGCGGCUUAACUGUGGGCGUGCGGUCGAUACGGGCAUCACUGGAGUUCGGCAGGGGAGACUGGAAUUCCUGGUGUAGCGGUGAAAUGCGCAGAUAUCAGGAGGAACACCGGUGGCGAAGGCGGGUCUCUGGGCCGAUACUGACGCUGAGGAGCGAAAGCGUGGGGAGCGAACAGG
rnacentral:rRNA from 1 species